rnacentral:piRNA from 1 species
UUCUUUCUGUUCCUUGAGUGU